rnacentral:misc_RNA from 1 species
AAUUCUCAACUUUUCUGGCUUUUAUUAGCUGGUUAAGCUUGGAUUGUGGAAGUUGCUGGUUUUGUUAGAAAUCAGCUCUUCUCAAAUGUAUUAGCAAAACCUUUGCUGACUAUCCUCUGGUAUGAUAAUUAUCUAUACCAUUGAAAAGUAGCUCCUCUGGGAGGGUUUUGCUUCUAAUAGUCUAUCUGGACAAACUAUUGACA